rnacentral:rRNA from 1 species
GAAACCAACAGGGAUUGCCCUAGUAACGGCGAGUGAAGCGGCAACAGCUCAAAUUUGAAAUCUGGCCCUCGGGUCCGAGUUGUAAUUUGUAGAGGAUGCUUUUGGCGCGGUGCCUUCCGAGUUCCCUGGAACGGGACGCCUUAGAGGGUGAGAGCCCCGUACGGUUGGACGCCUAGCCUCUGUAAAGCUCCUUCGACGAGUCGAGUAGUUUGGGAAUGCUGCUCAAAAUGGGAGGUAAAUUUCUUCUAAAGCUAAAUACCGGCCAGAGACCGAUAGCGCACAAGUAGAGUGAUCGAAAGAUGAAAAGCACUUUGAAAAGAGGGUUAAAUAGCACGUGAAAUUGUUGAAAGGGAAGCGCUUAUGACCAGACUUUUUCCAGGCGGAUCAUCCGGUGUUCUCACCGGUGCACUUCGCCUGGUUUAGGCCAGCAUCGGUUUCCGCGGGGGGAGAAAAGCUUCGGGAAUGUGGCUCCUCCGGGAGUGUUAUAGCCCGUUGCAUAAUACCCUCGCGGGGACCGAGGUUCGCGCUCUGCAAGAAUGCUGCCGUAAUGUUCAUCAGCGACCCGUCUUGAAACACGGACCAAGGAGUCGAACAUUUGUGCGAGUGUUUGGGUGUUAAACCCUCACGCGUAAUGAAAGUGAACGGAGGUCAGAGCCUUUCGGGGUGCACGAUCGACCGAUCCUGAUGUUUUCGGAUGGAUUUGAGUAAGAGCAUAACUGUUCGGACCCGAAAGAUGGUGAACUAUGCGUGGAUAGGGUGAAGCCAGAGGAAACUCUGGUGGAGGCUCGCAGCGGUUCUGACGUGCAAAUCGAUCGUCAAAUCUGCGCAUGGGGGCGAAAGACUAAUCGAACCAUCUAGU